AACGCACGAGACCUGCGGACCUGCGGAAGGAUCAUUAAUGAGAAGCUGCCCCUCGUGGGUAGACCUCCCACCCUCUGUGAACUUACCUUUGUUGCUUUGGCGGGCCCGUCCUCUGGACCGCCGGCUUCGGCUGGCCCGUGCCUGCCAGAGGAUUCCAAACCCUGUCUGUCAGUGUUGUCUGAGUCUAUAUGAAAUCGUUAAAACUUUUAACAAUGGAUCUCUAGAUCGGAAGAGCACACG
rnacentral:misc_RNA from 1 species